rnacentral:rRNA from 1 species
UACAGAGGUCUCAAGCGUUGUUCGGAUUCAUUGGGCGUAAAGGUGCGUAGGCGGCGCGGUAAGUCGGGUGUGAAAUUUCGAGGCUUAACUUCGAAACUGCAUUCGAUACUGCCGUGCUAGAGGACUGGAGAGGAGACUGGAAUUUACGGUGUAGCAGUGAAAUGCGUAGAGAUCAUGAGGAAGACCAGUGGCGAAGGCGGGUCUCUGGACAGUUCCUGACACUGAGCACGAAGGCCAGGGAGCAAACGGG